GACGAACGCUGGCGGCGUGCUUAACACAUGCAGGUCGAACGGAAAGGCCCUGCUUUUGUGGGGUGCUCGAGUGGCGAACGGGUGAGUAACACGUGAGUAACCUGCCCUUGACUUUGGGAUAACUUCAGGAAACUGGGGCUAAUACCGGAUAGGAGCUCCUGCUGCAUGGUGGGGGUUGGAAAGUUUCGGCGGUUGGGGAUGGACUCGCGGCUUAUCAGCUUGUUGGUGGGGUAGUGGCUUACCAAGGCUUUGACGGGUAGCCGGCCUGAGAGGGUGACCGGCCACAUUGGGACUGAGAUACGGCCCAGACUCCUACGGGAGGCAGCAGUGGGGAAUAUUGCACAAUGGGCGGAAGCCUGAUGCAGCAACGCCGCGUGCGGGAUGACGGCCCUCGGGUUGUAAACCGCUUUCGCCUGUGACGAAGCGUGAGUGACGGUAAUGGGUAAAGAAGCACCGGCUAACUACGUG
rnacentral:rRNA from 1 species